rnacentral:lncRNA from 1 species
UGUCCUUAAAUAAUUAAUAGUUGAAAGCAUAACUAUAAAAUAAGAUAUAAGAAAACUAGGUCUUUGUAUUCUUUCUGACAGGUAAUGUCAUAUAGUUCAGUUACAUCCAUGUUAUUUGUUAUACAACACUUAUUAGAUCAUGUUCUCAAAAGUUAAAGAAGUAAAAGACAGAUGCAUAUUAGAUAGUUAUUUCAUAUUACCGUAUGCUAAGAAAUUGCAAACCAUACCGUAAUACUAGGUGGUCAAUCAGAAUGGAGCUUUUUCAGACAAACAGAAAUAUGUUUAGACACUCAAGAGGAUGAGAAGCUGGCUAAACUAGCUGGAAAGACUAAACAUUUGGUACAGUCCUGGACAAUAACUGAUGCUAUAUAAGGUUCAAAAACAACAUGACUAAAGGAGUGUGUGGGCAAUGAAACUCCUUAAACAAACAAGACCAAGUUUGUGCUAUAUAUGAUUGAAACCAAAAGCAUAUUGUCACUGUCAGACUGCACACGUUUUCAGUUAUCAAGACUUGUCAACAGCAUUCUUCUCAGUCAUGGCAAUCUCCAUCAUAUUCUAGACUACUGCAACCUCCAUUUAGAUUUUCCAAGUUGUCUCCUCUCUUUGAAAAUGCUCAACUUAGA